AUAUAUGGACAUGCAGCAAAGCACCCAUAAAAGUAUACAACUUGCAAUCGAAAUGGGGGAGUCCACGAAGCGCGUCCACACGCUGUUGCUUCUUGUUCUUCUCCUAUGCUUUGCUAUUCAUGGGGAGUGUAAGUGACUCUACGGGAUGCAACACAUUGUUCUUCUCGUGUCCUUCCUUUGGUUCUUCAUGUGCGUUUCCUCACUUUGUCGAUUUGUCUUGAAUAUUAAUUGUGCAAUAUGUAUGAAUAUAUCUAUAGGUGGACGCUUAGGCAUGGAGAAGGAUCAUCCUGGGUGCUACAGGAGUAGCACUUUUCCACCCUGCAAUCCUAAUAAAAAUAAAUGCUAUUGUUGUUUAUACAAUUGGACUUGCUACAAGUCGUUUGCUGAAUGCGGGCCUGCUUGCCAUCCUCCCCCCUCUUCCUCCUCUGUACUACCAUAAAAUUAUAUUCUUGUACCGAAUUGGAAAGAUGGACGAAUAAGACAAUAAAUUACUCCAUCCGAUUAAGUUUAGUUCAAAAUUGCAACGCUUAUUUUGGAUCGAAGGGAGAAAUAAGUUUGCAUCUUUGUAGCCGGGCCAUUUCCUUUUUUGCGGAACUCGCAGUUCCAUCAUCUUAGAAAACUAA
rnacentral:lncRNA from 1 species